GGCUUAAAAAGGGGCUUUCUUGGUUAAAUUUUCUUACUUUUAAUUUUUAAUUUUUAAAUUUACUUUGUUUUUUUGAGGAUUUUGCUUUGAUGCUGGGGCAGCAUCAAGGUUCUGCAACCAUGGGGAAAUUAAAAGAGAGGAAGGAAGGGGAAGGGAGGAGAGAGUAGAUACAAGAGGGAAACUCACAUUCAAUUCCAAUUCAAAUUCAUCAACAAAUGCCUACAACAUGACUUUCACACAUUAUUUAUAAGAAAUCCUCUUUACAUGAAAUUACACUCGUACUCCUAAAACUACAUUGCAUUACAAACAUACCCCUAGAAUGCACAAAUACUACAAAAAAGCCCCCCAAAUAAACAUAAUACUCUAGUAACUAAACUAAACACAUAAUAAACUACCAACUUGGCAAUUCCUUGGUUCAACUCUUCUUUAUUAUUCUCCAGCAAAGAUCUUCCCAAGGUCUUGCUUCUUGUCCUACAUUGACUCUCCCCUAGUUAGAAAAAAUUUAGCCUCGAAUUUUGAAAUGUUGGAGGAUCAAAAGGGAGAGUAAAUUUGGUCUCUUUGAAAGCUAGUACUUGAAUGAGAAGAAACUAUGUUCCAUUGGCAGCGCCAUAGACUUGACUUGAGAAUUACCAUCAAUGAACUCAUCAGGGAUGACAAACCCUACAAUAGGAAUGUUUGAAAGACUUUGGAUGUCUUUAAAUGCAUUUAUUGCCUUGUAGUGUCUUCAAGUUGAGUAACUUUGACGUGAUCAAUAAUCUCUUAUUCUUUGUCCUGGUUGGUUGGUAAAGCAGGCUUCAAAAUGAUUUUCGUUUCAUUAUUGUUGAAGACAUGUGUUCUCAUGCCCUUGAGUCAACCGCAAAUCAUCCAACCAAGGAGGAGUACAUGGCCAAUCUUCAUAGGUAGGAUAUUACGCCAAAAGUUAGUCAUAUAUUCACCCAUUUGGAUAGGAACCAAACAUCUUUCAUAAACAUGUACAGUAGAGUUAUCAACCCAAGACAUCUCAUAAGGUUCUGGGUGAGGUUCUGGAUGAAGCUGCAUUCGAAUGACUCCAUUUAUGGAAACCACAUUCAUUGGACGCCUUCCAUCAAUGAUGAUUUUGCAAACCUUUUCUCCACAUUUGAGAAAGGUGUUGAACAGUUUGAAAUUGUGCCCAUAGUUUGGCAAAUGGCAUUGCUUUAUCCGAUAAUUUGUCACCAUGUUGCUAAAUUAUGUGCUGCAGCUUUAUAUCACCAACAGCCCUUUAACACAAUUUCCCACAAGCCUUACUCCUAAUUUUUGAAAAACAAUCUUCAAUUCACCUUUGAUAUUGAUUUUCCUGCUGAAAUGAAACAAAAACACAAAAAAAACUCACAAAUUACAGCAACAAAACCUGAUUUUUAAUGCUGGAAUGACAAUUUCUGGAGUUUUGUGCCAAACUAUCGCGCUUGCUUGCAAUAAAUUGUGUCCACAAUCAAAAUGCCUCCUUGCAGAUCAAGAUAUCUUGGAUAAAGCCCAAAAUAUUGUGACUCAAGCAAUUUCUUGUGAAACUGGAAGCAGGAGAAGACUUCGGCAGAGUCCCACUUGUGGGUCACCGGCGCAUGGGGCAUGUGUGUCCCCGGAGGCAAGACUCUGGCGAUGAAACUUCAGUCAAGUGUAGAUCUGGUGAUGGGAAUUACAGUUGUGGUGGUGAUAUGAAAAAAGUACAGGAGGUUGGUACUUUCAAAGGGCUGACGAUUGGAUAAGUUUGGCCGGCGCAUGGGGUGUCCUCUGGUGGUCGGACGGCGACGAGAAUUUAAUACUGGAGUUUCAGAAUAGAGAUGAUGAGAUAAGAGACUCACAGAGAGGGAGAGAUUAAUGGAAAGGAUGUAAGAUGAAGAAGAAGAAGAAGGGAGAAAGAUAGAACAGAGACAAAGGGAGGACUAAUGCAUUAAAGAGAGAGAGAACAGAACAGAAAGCAAGAAAACAAGAAGAGAAGACAGAAGAAGCAGCAGAGAGGGAGUGAGAAGUUACAAAACAGAGAAAAGGAAAGAAGAAGAAGCAAGGGAGAAGAAGGACAUGGUAGAAGAGAAGAGAAGGAAAAAGGGGAAGAUGGGGGGUUGACAUGGAAGAAUAGUGAUCGAUACCAAAUGAUGCAGGGCAGCAUCAAGGUUCUGCAGCUAUGGGAGAGAUUAGAAGAGAUAGAAGGGGAAGGGAGGAGAGAGGAGAUACUAGGGGGAAACUUAUGUUCAGUUCCAAUUCAAUUUCAUCAACAACUGCCUAAAACAUGACUUUCACACACUAUUUAUAAGAAAGCUUCUUUGCAUGAAAUUACACUCAUACCCCUAAAACCACAUUGCAUUACAAACAUAUACCACUAGAAUACACAAAUACUACAAACAAGCCCCCAAAUACACAUAAUACUCUACGAAUGAAGCUAAACACAUAAUAAAACACUCACUUAACUCGACAAUUCCUUGACCUAACUCUUCUUAAUUAUUCUCUAGCAAGGAUAUUCCCAAGGUCUUGCUUCUUGUCCUACAUCACGCGCCCUUGCCUAGGUUGUAAUUUCUCUCUCUUAACCAUGGUUUUAAAUAACGGCCGUUACGUAGCGUAACGGCCGAUAUGUAACGUAAAUCAAGGGCUCUGAAACCAAUACGGGCCGAUAAUGCGGUUUGGAAAAAAUUCACAGCCGUAACGGCCGUUACCCCUACGUUACACUCCGUAACAGUCCGUUACGGACCGUUACAUGCCGACAACUUGCAGAAUCUCCUUUCUGCUGCGCAGCGUUCCUUUCCCCCUUUCCCGAGUCCCAAGCACCCAUCUACCAUUCAAUCUACCUAAAUCUAACAUUAAAAAAGCAAAAAACUUACUUGCAGUUUUGUUGGCCACCGAAGCUAUAAGAAGGCUUCACGCCUUCACUCCUUCGAAGCCUGAGUUGAUCUACUCAUCUUUGCAGCCUUCGUUUCCUGAAUCCUGAACCUAACAAAGUUCUUCGAAGCUUGAGAGUGGCUGAAGGCAGCUUCAUCUGCCAGUCGUCGCACUCGCCGCCACCAACCAGCCCUCCGCCAGUCGUCGCACGAAGCUUCGAGGCUCCUCCAUCCUCCGAGUCGCCUCCCCUCUCUCGGUCUCACUUAAAGUCUCAGACUCUCUGGCCUCUACUCAUCUCGCGAAUGAGAAAAGCUUUAUUUCAGCAACACUCAACACCCACAACCACAUCUUAAACAUUUUAUUAUGUUUUUUUUUUUAAUUAUAAUUUAUUGUAAGUUAUGUUUGUUAAAUUGAAUUAAAAAAAAAAAGAGUAAUUUAAUAGAGUAAAAAGCUUUAAAAUUUCAGAUUCAUUUAAGAUGCAAAUUGGUUCCUAAACAAUUUAAGCAUGUCAUAUUCUGUUUUGAUUAACAUACUUUUAUUCAUUCUUUACGUAUUCUUUCCUUCCUUUUGGUUUCAUUGCAUAUAAAAUAUAUAUUAUUUUAAAAUAAAUAACUAUGACAUGGCAUUCCAAAAAUAUGGAGUGGACAAUUUCUCAUGUUCUAUUUCUAUGCUAAUUUAUAUUUGUGAGUAAAACAACAUUUUGCAUAAUUAUUUCCCCUAACAGCAUUUUUUUUCUUGUAAAUUAUUAUAUUCAUAUACAAUAUCAAUUUCAUUUAUAUGGUAUUGCAUUAACAUUUUUUGAAAGCUGACACCGUUAGUAAUAGACUAAUAGUAUUAUGGUUACAAACUUCCAAGAUACAACAUUAGUACAAAAAAUACUCUUUUCUAGUCUUAUGCCUUGCCCAUAGAUGCAGCUCUUGUUUUUUUUUUCUUUUCAAAGAUCAGAAAUCUCCCACAUCUUAAACUUUUUAUUAUGUUUUUUUUUAAUUAUAAUUUGUUGUAAAUUAUGUUUGUUAAAUUGAAUUAAAAAAGGAGUAAUUUAAUAGAGUAAAAAAUUAGAAAACAGUAAUAAUUAUGUAAAAUAAAAUUUUCUUAAUUUAUAAAUAUUUUAAUUGUCUUAUAUUUUUUGAAAGGUAAUUAGGAAAAUUUAGUUUCAGCACAUAUUUCCUAUUUAUAAAUAUUUUUUUAAGUUUUAAAACAUCAUUUUGACCUUAAAUUUAAAAUUAGGUAAAAUAAAUCGUUACAUGAUCUAUUUUUUGUUUUUAGUUAUCAAAUAAAGUAAAAAUUGAUAACUUAAUAAAAAACAUUUUAACCUAAUAGUUAAUAUAUUAAUAAUUCAGAUUUUUGCUAAUUACUAGUUUACUACUGGAAUUUGUAGAAAAAUUUUAUUUUAAUCCAUAAACUGAGAAAAUGCUUAAAAAAUUAAAUAGUCAAUUUGUACUGUAUGGAUCUCUAUUAGUGAUGUUGUGAUGUAUAUAAAAGUAGAGCAAGUUUUUUCCACCUUUAAAAUUUCAAUGUUAAUUUCUUAUAGUUAUAAAUAAAAAUAAAAUCAAGUUAUAAAAAAUAAUGAAAAUAUCUUUUUAAAGAUAAAGGAAUAUAUUUUUUUGUAAUAAAAUAUCUAAUAUUUUAUAAUUUUGCUUAUUUAAAUAUCAAAAUAAAUUAAACAUUACUUAUUAUUUUUAAUCAAAUAUUAUAUUUUAUUUUUACGUAAUAAGUAUUUAAAAUUAGAAGGACUAUUUAGUACUUAUUAUUUAAUAUUUACUAAAUUACUAAUUAUAAUAUUAUUCCUGUCAUUUUUAGAAAGGUUGUAACUUUGUAUUUUCUCUAUGUUUUGUGUAGAGAUCAUCAAAUUAAGUCUAUCAAUAUGUCACGUGAUAGAGGAAAUGAGAACUUACCUAGUGAGGAUAUUGGAUGGCAUUUUGGUACUGCGGUGGACGGUAAUAGACAUGUUAUUAUGUGUAAGUUAUGUGGGAAGAUAAUAAGGGGGCAUUACACGCUUGAAACAAUACUUGGCACAUAAAAAAGGUCAAGUAGCUGGAUGCUCAAAUGUGACCACACAAGUUAGAGAACAAAUGAUGAAACAUCUACAACAGUAUGCUGAGAAGAAAAGAGAUAAACAAAAAAGGCAAGAAGAAGCAGAAGCCCAAAUUAGAGGAGAUUUUGAGAAUUUGAGCGAUGAAGAAGACUUGGAAGAAGAAAGUAUGAGAUUUGCUCGACAAGAAAGCAUACGAUCACAGCAACAAUGGGAAGAGAGACAAAGAUUUUGAGCAAGAACAUCAAGAGGGGGUAAUAUUUAUGAAGAGGGAGGUGGCUCUGGCAGUGGUGCUACUGGUGGUUUCAAUAGUGCAGGAGUUUGAUCUUAUAGUGGUCGAGAAGCUGGAGGUAAUGGACGACAAUGGAUCAAUCUUGAUGCCCCUGAAGCUAGACUAAAGGCAAUGGAUCCUAUUUUAGAAAGAAGUAAGAGUGCGAAACAACCAAAAAUCAACACAAAGUUACUGAAAGGUUUAAGAAGUAAAUUAGGAAAAGCAGUUGGAAAAUUCCUAAUUUAUAAUCGGAUUCCAGCGAAUGUAGCUGACUCUCCAUUUAUGCAGCCUAUGCUUGAUAUUGCUGCAGAGGUUGGAAAGGGGGUGAAGGGUCCAUCACCUUAUGAGAUAUCUGAAAUUUAUUUGGAGCAAGAGUAUCAAGAAAUGAAAAAUUAUAUAGCUUCUUUUUCUGCAAUUUGGAAGGAGAGAGGUGUAACCCUUAUGUGUGAUGGUUGGUCAGGACCAACUAGAAAACACAUUAUAAACUUUUUAGUUUAUUGCGAUAGAGGCACCGUGUUUCAUAAAUCAGUUGAUGCCUCUGAUGUACCAAGCAGAACAGCUGAAUAUUAUUUCAGAUUAAUGGACGAGGCGGUUGAAGAAAUUGGAGAGGAGAAUGUUGUCCAAGUAGUGACUGAUAAUGAAGCUGCAAUGAAGGCAGGAGGAAAAUUAUUAAUGUAGAAGAGGCCCAAUCUCUAUUGGACAGCAUGUGCAGCUCAUUGCACAAAUUUCAUUGCUUUGAAGACUAUUGUCAGGCAUAGACAAGCACUAAGGGAAAUGUUUACAUCUGAUGCUUGGAAAAACUCAAGGUUUGGGAUGACAAAAUUAGGCCCAGCAUAUGAUUCAAAGAAAAUUAUCCUAGGCAAAGAGUUUUGGCAAAAGGCCUCUGAUAUAAUUAAAGUGCAAGAACCCUUAGUGAAAGUUCUUAAAUUGGUUGAUGGUGAUGAAAAACCAACCAUGGGCUUCAUAUACGAGGCAAUUGAUAGGGCAAAGUUGGCCAUUCAAAAAGAUUGCCGGUUUUACAAAGACUAUUGGAAAAUUAUUGACAACCGGUGGAGUUUUCAGUUGCACCAAGAUUUGCACGCUGCUGGGUAUUUUUUGAACCCAUAAUUUCUUUAUGGUGCCCCACCCUCUCCUGAAGUUGCUAGAGAAGUCAUGGAUGGAGUUAAAAAAGUGAUAACCAAGUUGGUACUGAUAUAGAUACUCAAAUUCGGGCUAUUAAUCAAUUGUUGCUAUAUCGAGAUAGGCAGGAGACUUUUGGAACCCCAUUGGCUCAAAGGGCAGUGAAACAAACAAAUCCUGCUGAAUGGUGGAUUCAUUAUGGCUUGUGUGCUCCUGAGCUCCAAAGAAUAGCAAUCAGAGUUCUUAGUCAGACCACAUCAGUUUCGAACUGUGAGCGUAAUUGGAGCACCUUUAGCCUCAUCCAUACGAAAACAAGAAAUAGAUUAAAGUACAUGAGACUGCAAAAACUUGUUUUUGUACAUUACAACAUGAGGUUAAAGUUAAGACGUACAAUGAGAAGAAGCCAACGAGAAAUUGAAGAGGGUUUCAAUCCUAUCAAUUUGGACUACAUUUUCGAAGAAGAUGAUCCUUUAAGUCAAUGGUUAGAGGAGAAAGAGACACCACUACUUGACGGUCAGGACAAUUCAAAUUGGUUAAAUGAAGAAGUUGGUGGUACCACAGAAGGAGGUGAUCAACCACCAAUAAAUGCGCAUGAUGAUUCAAGUUCAAGCCCUGAACGUACAGUUUGAGCCCACCAAGUGAUGAUGAUGGUAAUAGUGGUGCUGGAGCUGGGGUUGGGGGAGGUGGCAGUGGUGGUGGUGGUGGAGGCGGCGGUGUAGAAUAUAAUUAUGGAUAUGACACAGGGACAUCAUUUGCAAGGGAUAUACAUCUUUCUCAUCCUUAUGGACUACAUGACAUACUUGAAAAUUAUGACUUGGGUAUUCUUCCAGGGAACCAAUCUUCACAACCCAGGAGAAGGAGUGCUCGUGGUGACCCUAGUGAUUCUAUUGAAGAUUCAUAUGGUGUGGUUCAUAGUUUUGGCGACUUUGGUUUAGAUGGUUCAUCAUCACAAUCAUAUGGAUCUCAUCUAGCAUAUCCACAUUAUGCAUCUCGUGACUCACAUUUUUAUCCUAGUGGAUCAGGAAUCUCAGGAUCUAGUGAGUCUUCUUCUACACACUACCUAGAGCCAGUCCCCGCCCCAACUUAUGAACAUUAUUCAGGAGGAUUUUCAUCACUAGUACAUUUUUAAGAGCAACAACGAAAUGACAUAAACUUGGGUUUAUUCAACUAUGUAUUUCCACAAGGAUGGGGAGAUAAUUUCCAAUCCCAAUCUCAAGAUACAGAUGCAAAUUGUGAAGACCCUCCACGUCAUUCUUUUUGGUGAUGACAUGUAUUAUGUUAUAAAUUUGUAAUAUUGUAUAAUUGUAUUUUCAACUAUUUAUUGAUAUUUGAUAUUAAUCACUUUUUGAAUUCAUGUA